GAUGAACGCUGGCGGCGUGCCUAAUACAUGCAAGUCGAGCGAACAGACGAGGAGCUUGCUCCUCUGACGUUAGCGGCGGACGGGUGAGUAACACGUGGAUAACCUACCUAUAAGACUGGGAUAACUUCGGGAAACCGGAGCUAAUACCGGAUAAUAUAUUGAACCGCAUGGUUCAAUAGUGAAAGACGGUUUUGCUGUCACUUAUAGAUGGAUCCGCGCCGCAUUAGCUAGUUGGUAAGGUAACGGCUUACCAAGGCAACGAUGCGUAGCCGACCUGAGAGUGUGGGAGGCAACACUGGAGCUGACACACGGUGCAGACUCCUACGGGAGGCAGCAGUAGGGAAUGGUGCGCACUGGGCGAAAGCCUAACGGAGCAGAGCUGCGUGAGUGAUAAAGGUCUACGUAGCGUAAAACUCUGUUAGUAGUCAAGAACACAUGUGAAAGUAACUGUGCGCAGCGGGACGGGACCUAAUCAAAAAGCAACGGCUAGCUACGUC
rnacentral:rRNA from 1 species